CCUACGGGCGGCAGCAGUGGGGGAUAUUGCACAAUGGGGGGAACCCUGAUGCAGCGACGCCGCGUGGGUGAAGGAGUGCUUCGGCAUGUAAAGCUCUAUCGGCAGGGAAGAAGCAAGACGGUACCUGACUAAGAAGCCCCGCCUAACUACGUGCCAGCAGCCGCGGUAAUACGUAGGGGGCGAGCGUUAUCCGGAUUCACUGGGUGUAAAGGGAGCGUAGACGGUCAUGCAAGCCAGGGGUGAAAGCCCGGGGCCCAACCCCGGGACUGCCCUGGGAACUGUGCGGCUAGAGUGCGGGAGAGGCAGGCGGAAUGCCUGGUGUAGCGGUGAAAUGCGUAGAUAUCAGGAGGAACACCGGCGGCGAAGGCGGCCUGCUGGACCGCGACUGACGUUGAGGCUCGAAAGCGUGGGGAGCGAACAGGAUUAGAUACCCCAGUAGUC
rnacentral:rRNA from 1 species